GAAGUGAGGACCUUGAGGCAGGCAGAUAGCGACCUGAAGGUCUGCCAGGACUACACUGUUUCAAAAACAAACCAAAAGGAUACAAUUAGACCCAGGGUAGAAACUGGACUUAAUUCCAAAAACCCUAAUCUCAGUUCUAUAGAGAACAAAACCAGUAAAAGCUGAAUUGAGGAAGAUUCCACUAAAAAAAAACAUGACCGGAACUCAAACCUGUCAAGGCCAUCAAAAACAAAGGAAGUCUGACAAGCUGUCACAGCUACAAUGUGCCUAAGAAGAAGCAGUGACUAAGAGUUAUGGGAUCCCAUCUUAGAAAAACGGAAACUGGUUUCAAAUAACCAGGUGUGGCUGGGGAGCGGCUCCAGGUAGAGGCACUUGCUGCCAAGCCUGAAGACCUGAGCUUCCUUGCUGGGACCCAUAUGACAGAGAGGAGAGAACUGACUCCUGUAAACUGUCUCCUGACUUCUACACACGUGUACGAACACUCAAGCAUGAUCCAAAACAAACACACGAAUAAACAUAUAAAUAAAUAAAUGUAAAAAAAAAAA